UAAUCUCUCCUUCGUGAUGGUUCCGCCCCGACUAGACCGGAAGGGCGGACGAAGAGGGAAUACGGUGAGGAUUACCCAUCAGGGGCCGAAACCGUGGCUGCCCCCGCAACUGUGAACGGCGAGCGACGUCCGAAAAGCCAUUGGCCUUCAGCUGAUAAGGCGGACCGAAGCCCUGACCCGUGAGCCAGGAGACCUGCCAUCGCUUGGCGCCGUGA
rnacentral:ncRNA from 2 species